CCGUGAUGUGUUCAGGCAUGAUAUACUUAUGUCUGUUUAUACUAAAGCCUAACUAGCCUAUCUUACUCCACUAGUUGAAGAUGGCACCAACCCAGUCUAACAGAGUCAGUUCUCUUUUCUAAUUCCGGCCAGACUAGAGCAAAAGAGCUGGAAUCAAAGGAGAAAGAGAGAGAAAUGGAAGAGCAAACAAUAGCCUUCUACCCUCCAUUUCCAGCACAAGCUGGAGGCAAACAAAAAGAUGAGAUUGGAGCUCAACUGGUAGAAAAAAAGUCCGUAACUCAAAGGAGAUCAGCUACUUCUGCAGCAGGCCCUAUGCUAAUUACUUUAUAAGUACUCAUUCUUUCAACUUACACCAGCUCUAUGAGCCUAUUCAAGUGAGUCUUCAGCAGUUCUAGCUGAAACAUUUACUGAACACAAUCAGGAUUUCAAACUGAAAAAUCAGAAGCAAGGAAGAAUUUCCACGGCAUGGACCCUGGCUGAUAAUAAAAAUCCACAGCUCAGGGAGGACAGGGCCUUCCACCAUGCUGUUUCUGCAUUUGAACCUG
ensembl:lncRNA